rnacentral:rRNA from 1 species
AACGAACGCUGGCGGCAGGCCUAACACAUGCAAGUCGAACGCUCCCUUCGGGGAGAGUGGCAGACGGGUGAGUAACGCGUGGGAACAUACCUAGUGGUACGGGACAACUCAGGGAAACUUGGGCUAAUACCGUAUAAGCCCUACGGGGGAAAGAUUUAUCGCCAUUAGAUUGGCCCGCGUUGGAUUAGCUAGUUGGUGGGGUAACGGCCUACCAAGGCGACGAUCCAUAGCUGGUCUGAGAGGAUGAUCAGCCACACUGGGACUGAGACACGGCCCAGACUCCUACGGGAGGCAGCAGUGGGGAAUAUUGGACAAUGGGGGCAACCCUGAUCCAGCCAUGCCGCGUGUGUGAAGAAGGCUUUCGGGUUGUAAAGCACUUUCAGUGAGGAGGAAAACCUUACGACUAAUACUCGUGAGGCUUGACGUUACUCACAGAAGAAGCACCGCUAAC